AGCUUUAUGCAGUGGCAGUAUCAUAGCCAAUAAGGUUCGUCUAAAGUGCGAUUAUUGCUAAUUGAAAACUUUUCCUAAUAUACUGUCAUGAAGACUCACAACAUAGUCUGCAUUUGCAAUUUGUUUCCCUUUUUUUAAUAU